CACGAGAAGCCGCUCGUGUGCAGAGUUAGGCUGCCAUCUGGCGGCGUAAUCAAAUCCAACCGCUGACAUGAACCAUGAACCACCGGAAGCAAGCAACCUCGAAACGGACUAAAAGGAUCAUGCAUUGCAUUUUAUUUGUAGGCGACAGUAAAAAAAAAAAAAAAAAAAAGACAGCAUAAAAUAAAUCAACACCAAAAACACAUUGUUAGAAGGAGUUGUUUUGGCUGGUGUAUCCAGGCCGUAGCUAUGGCAAGUCAUUCCAGACCUGUCAUACAUAUCAAAUGCUGCUUUUCCCUCAGAAGCCAUUUCCCUUGGAAGCCCACCAUCCUUUUUCCUUUUUGGUGUGAACUGAUCAAACAUUAGUCCUCUUGUUUGACCAGUAAACACAAUAGAGUCCACUGUGCUGGGACCUCUCUUCAUUCUCCCAUGGAGUCAACACAGCAGCUGACCUAUGACUCAACGUGUGUGUGUGUGUGUGUGUGUGUGUGUGUGUGUGUGUGUGUGUGUGUGUGUGUGUGUGUGUGUGUGUGUGUGUGUGUGUGUGUGUGUGUGUGUGUGUGUGUGUGUGUGUGUGUGUGUGUGUGUGUGUGCGUGUGUGUGUGUUCGCUCUAGGACUUUGGAUCGGCGCUGCGUCGCUUCAGCUUCUCGGGGUUGUUCGACGCCAUGUGCGAGAAGUCCCGGAAGAUGUCUUGGUACGUCGCGUCCCCUGCGGACCACAGGAGAGGGAGAGGAGAGGAUGAGGAGGGGGAGGGUGGGAGUGAGCGCUCAUGUCUCAACAUUAAAGGUGACAGAUUAUACCACCAGUUUGAAGUGUGAUUAGCCGUUACAAGCCGUUUUGGAAAAUCUGCCUCUUCUGACAUCACAAGUGGGCGUGUCCACCUGGAUGUGUGCUGGAUAGAUCAGUCUACCAGCCUACCCAGUGCACUGUAGCAAGCGUUGCUCAUCUAUCCGCCGUGCUUCUAGGUCAGGGAUGGGCAACAGUUUUAGUCCAAGGGCCACAGUUACUUUGGCAAGGUCAACGGAGGGCCACACUUUAGACGAUUGCAAUUAAACAUGGUGACACGAUUAAAUGGUACAAAUUAAUUCAAUGCAAAUUAUGUAUCAGGCUACUUUACAGUUGCCUCGACUUUGCCAGUCUAUUUCAAGGCCUGACAUUUAUUUUUUGAUAGGCCUAUCUGACCUUGGCUACUCUAAGGUUACAAUAACUGGAUUUGCUUUCAAGGAUUCAUUUACUACACGACCCUGCAUAUUGUUCAACUGUCAUUCAUACCAGCUGUAGCUCUUCAAGAUAGAUAACUAUUAACAAAACUGCAAAUGUAUGUCUGCAGGAUACAUUAACAUACAGACUUAAGGCAAUCUUUUUGAGGCUAUAGGGAGACCUUCAUCACUGAAUGAAAAUUACAUGCCUAUC